rnacentral:rRNA from 1 species
UACGUAGGGUGCGAGGCGUUAAUCGGAAUUGACUGGCGUAAAGGCGUGAGCGCAGGCGGUGAUGUAAGACAGAUAGUCGAAAUCCCCGGGCUCAACCUGGGACCGUGACCAUUUGUGAGCUGCGAUCGCUGGAGUGCGGCAGAGGGGGAUGGAAUUCCGCGUGUGAGCAGUGAAAUGCGUAGAUAUGCGGAGGAACACCGAUGGCG